rnacentral:rRNA from 1 species
AACAGGGGAUUGCCUCAGUAACGGCGAAGUGAAGCGGCAAGAGCUCAAAUUUGAAAUCUGGUCCCUAAAGGGCCCGAGUUGUAAUUUGCAGAGGGUGCUUUGAUGUUGGCAGCGGUCUAAGUUCCUUGGAACAGGACGUCACAGAGGGUGAGAAUCCCGUAUGUGGUCGCUAUUCUUCGUCAUGUAUAGCCCCUUCGACGAGUCGAGUUGUUUGGGAAUGCAGCUCUAAAUUGGAGGUAAAUUUCUUCUAAAGCUAAAUACUGGCCAGAGACCGAUAGCGCACAAGUAGAGUGAUCGAAAGAUGAAAAGUACUUUGGAAAGAGAGUCAAAAAGCACGUGAAAUUGUUGAAAGGGAAGCGCUUGCAGCCAGACUUGCCCUUAGUUGCUCAUCCAGGCUCUUGCCUGGUGCACUCUUCUAUAGGCAGGCCAGCAUCAGUUUAGGCGGCUGGAUAAAGACCUCUGACACGUUCCACUCUUCGGGGUGGCCAUAUAGGGGAGGUGAAAUGCAGCCAGCUUAGACUGAGGUCCGCGCAUCUGCUAAGAUGCUGGCGUAAUGACUGUAAGCGGCCCGUCUUGAAACACGGACCAAGGAGUCUAACAUCUAUGCAAGUGUUUGGGUGUCAAGCCCAGGCGCGCAAUGAAAGUGAACGGAGGUGGGAACCCCUUGGGGCGCACCAUCGACCGAUCCUGAUGUCUUCGGAUGGAUUUGAGUAAGAGCAUAGCUGUUGGGACCCGAAAGAUGGUGAACUAUGCUUGAAUA